rnacentral:rRNA from 1 species
GAUGAACGCUGGCGGCGUGCCUAAUACAUGCAAGUAGAACGCUGAAGGAGGAGCUUGCUCUUCUGGAUGAGUUGCGAACGGGUGAGUAACGCGUAGGUAACCUGCCUGGUAGCGGGGGAUAACUAUUGGAAACGAUAGCUAAUACCGCAUGACAACAGUUAUUGCAUGAUAACUGUUUAAAAGGGGCAACUGCUCCACUACCAGAUGGACCUGCGUUGUAUUAGCUAGUUGGUGAGGUGACGGCUCACCAAGGCGACGAUACAUAGCCGACCUGAGAGGGUGAUCGGCCACACUGGGACUGAGACACGGCCCAGACUCCUACGGGAGGCAGCAGUAGGGAAUCUUCGGCAAUGGACGGAAGUCUGACCGAGCAACGCCGCGUGAGUGAAGAAGGUUUUCGGAUCGUAAAGCUCUGUUGUAAGAGAAGAACGAGUGUGAGAGUGGAAAGUUCACACUGUGACGGUAUCUUACCAGAAAGGGACGGCUAACUACGUG